CACGUAGGGGGCGAGCGUUGUCCGGAUUUAUUGGGCGUAAAGAGCUCGUAGGCGGCUCAGUAAGUCGGGUGUGAAACCCCCGGGCUCAACCCGGGGACGCCACCCGAUACUGCUGUGGCUAGAGUCCGGUAGGGGAGCGUGGAAUUCCUGGUGUAGCGGUGAAAUGCGCAGAUAUCAGGAGGAACACCAGCGGCGAAGGCGGCGCUCUGGGCCGGUACUGACGCUGAGGAGCGAAAGCGUGGGGAGCGAACAGG
rnacentral:rRNA from 1 species